GAAUCCCUUGUCCUCUAUUUUCCGGGUUCAUGUCGGGGUCUUCCGGCAACGAUGUUCUUCGGGCUUCCGGCAAGCUCAACAAGCUGAGGAGAGUCCAGUUUCGAGUUGGAGAAUGUUAGAUGGAGAUUGAGUCGUUUUGGGCAGACUGGAGGGAUUUGAAUUUAUCAGUUUCUAGUGAGUCGGCCAGUCCCUCUGUGUUCUUGAGCCUAUUCAGCAGGAGGAAAUGGGGAGGUGUUUUCAGGUGGUAUUUCUAUUUGGGUAGUUUUCCUGAUUUCAAACUUAAUGAUGUGUGGAGUAGUGAGUGGGAUUGGUGCAAACUGGGGUACACAGGCAAGCCACCCUCUACCCCCAGAUAGUGUGGUGAGCCUACUGAGGCAAAAUGGGAUUCAAAAGGUUAAGCUCUUUAAUGCAGAUUAUGACACACUGACAACUUUGGGUAAGUCUGGGAUUGAGGUCAUGGUGGGCAUUCCUAAUGAUAUGCUGGCAUCUCUAGCCUCCAGCGUUAAGGCAGCUGAGAAGUGGGUUUACUAAAAUGUCUCAGCACACAUCUCCUCCAAUAAUGUCAAGAUCAGAUUGCUCCAAUCUAUUUGUUCUCGUACACGAAGCAGGGAAUGAUUGAGUUUGUUAGAGAUUUUGCUGUCUAAGCUGCCUACUGAACAUAAUGAAACACUGCUUAAGGAAAACAAGGCAAGCAGCUGCAGUAGCACUUUAAGUUGUUUUCUUUUGGGUUCUUUGUACUUGUUUUGUGUUAAGUGCAUAUUACAUUUUUGCUGCAUUGUUAUUUUCGUUUUGUAUUGUAACUUGGAUACUCAAUUUGAUGAGUAGA